GUCUUUUUUUAAACAUUUAUUUUUAGAAAGGGGUUGAAAUAGUAUUUUUUUAAACAUUUAUUUUUAGAAAGGGGUUGAAAUAGUCUUUUUUUAAAAUGUAUUUACUAAAGAAGGAUCCAUUCCGUUAUCAAGGAGACGAUCAGGACUCAAUGCCCUGAGUGUCCCAUUCACUUUAGUCUGUAACUUUUUCUGCCAUGGCAUUGUUACAGACAGACAGUAUUGAACAAAGAGGGAAUGUUUUAUGGCUGUGCAGAAGAACGUGAGGGAGAACGGCUCUACUUCAACACAUCACUGUUUGGACAAACUGGACAUGUAGGACUAUACGCUUUUUUAUUAUUUUAAUUGACAUUUUUAAGCCAUAGGCCUAAACUCUGUUCUGGCCCAAAUAGCACCCUAAUCCCUACUUUUGACCUGAGCCUUAUGGUGCCUGGUCAAAGGUAGUGCACUAUGUAGGGAAUAGGGUUCUAUAAAGGUAGUGCACUAUGUAAUGAAUAGGGUUCUAUAAAGGUAGUGCACUAUGUAGGGAAUAGGGUCUAUAAAGGCAGUUCACUAUGUAAGGAAUAGGGUUCUAUAAAGGUAGUUCACUAUAUAGGGAAUAGGGUUCUAUAACAGUAGUGCACUAUGUAGGGAAUAGGGUUCUAUAAAGGCAGUGCACUAUGUAGGGAAUAGGGUUCUAUAACAGUAGUGCACUAUGUAGGGAAUAGGGUUCUGUCAAGGUAGUGCAAACUAUGUAGGGAAUAGGGUUCUAUAAAGGUAGUGCACUAUGUAGGGAAUAGGGUUCUAUAAAGGUAGUGCACUAUGUAGGGAAUAGGGUGCCAUUUGGAUCGCCAACUGUCUGAUCUGAUGCAAAUGCCCGAUGCUUCCUGGCAACAGCAAUGCGGUAGACAUUUUAACGUGAGACUGCUCCUAUGCAUCUGGUGAAACCAUCCAGACCAUGUCUGAUAAAUAUUCUGUUUUCCCAGACAGAGAUGGUGAUCAGCCACACGGCCAUUAACGUGGUAAAACUGGUAAUAGCAGGCUGUGGUUUGACCAGAUUGCUUGACUAUGGCUCCAUUCCUAAAAAGCACCUUAUUGUUUAUUAACUUACUGAGCAAUUAUAUGUGUGUGUGUGUACGGUACCAGUCAAACGUUUUAGAAAACCUACUCAUUCAAGGGUUUGUCUUUAUUUUCACUUUUUUUUUUAGAAUGAAAGUCAAAGACAUCAAAACAAUGAAAUAACACAUGGAAUCAUGUAGUAACCAAAAAAAGUGUUCAACAAAUCAAAAUAUAUUUUACAUUUUAAAUUCUUCAAAGUAGCCGCCCUUUGCCUUGAUGACAGCUUGGCACACUCUUGGCGUUCUCUCAACCAACUUCACCUGGAAUGCUUUUCCAACAGUCUUGAAGGAGUUCCCACAUAUGCUGAGCACUUGUUGGCUGCUUUUCCUUCACUCUGCAGUCCAACUCAUCCCAAACCAUCUCGAUUAGGUUGACGUCGGGUAAUUGUGGAGGUCAUCUGAUGGAGCACUCAUCACUCUCCUUGGUAAAAUAGCUCUUACACACAGCCUGGAGGUGUGUUGGUUCAUUGUCCUGUUUAAAAAUAAAUUAUAUUUCCACUAAGCGGAAACCAGAUGGGAUGGUGUAUCGCUGCAGAAUGCUGUGGUAGCCAUACUGGUUAAGUGUGCCUUUGACUUCUAAAUAAAUCACUGAAAGUGUCACCAGCAAAGCACCCCCACACCAUCACACCUCCUCCUCCAUGCUUCACAGUGGGAACCAUACAUGCAGAGAUUAUCCAUUCACCUACUCUGCGUCUCAUAAAGACAUGGCGGUUAGAACCAAAAAUCUCAAAUUUGGACUCAUCAGACCAAAGGACAGAUUUCCAUCGGCCUAAUGUCCAUUGCUCAUGUUUCUUGGCCCAAGCAAGUCUCUUCUUAUUAUUGGUGUCUUUUAGUAGUUCUUUUGCAGCAAUUUGACCAUGAAGGCCUGAUUCACAUAGUCUCCUCUGAACAGUUGAUGUUGAGAUGCGUCUGUUACUUGAACUGCGAAGCAUUUAUUUGGGCUGCAAUUUCUGAGGCUGGUAACACUAAUGAAUGUAUCCUCUGCAGCAGAGGUAACUCUGGGUCUUCCUUUCCUGUGGCGGUCCUCAUGAGAGCCAGUUUCAUCAUAGGGCUUGAUGGUUUUUGUGACUGCACUUGAAGAAACUUUCAAAGUUUUUCCUCAUUGACUGACCUUUGUGUCUUAAAGUAAUGAAUGACUGUCAUUUCUCUUUGCUUAUCUGAGCUGUUCUUGCCAUAAUAUGGACUUGGUAUUUUACCAAAUAGGGCUAAUUUCUGUAUACCACUCCUACCUUGUAACAACCCAACUGAUUGGCUCAAACAAAUUAACAAAUUAACAAGGCACACAUGUUAAUUAAAAUGCAUUCCAGGUGACGACCUCAUGAAGCUGGUUGAGAGAAUGCCAAGCUGUCAUCAAGGCAAAGGGUGGCUACUUUGAAGAAUCUAAAAUAUAUUUUCAUUUGUUUAAUAACACUUUUUUUUGGGUUACUACAUGAUUCCAUAUGUGUUAUUUCAUAGUUUUGAUGUCUUCACUAUUAUUCUACAAUGAGGUAAAAAAAAUAAAAACCCUGGAAUGAGCAGGUGUUCAAACUUUUGACUGGUACUGUGUAUGUGUAUGUAUGUGCAUACAUUGGUGAUAAAUGUCUUUAAAUAUGGAAAAUAAGACAGUACUUUCAGAACUACCGUAAGUGCCAAUGUUUCUGUUCAGAUAGGUAUAAUAGGUAUAUUCUUGGUAUAGUAGGUCAACUCUAUGAUUGUGGUUUGUAAAUUAAUAAGAAAUAUAAAAAGAUAUUUACAAAGUUGUAAAAACACAACAAAAACUGCACAUUAAAAAGUGAUGUCUUGUCCACUC